rnacentral:rRNA from 1 species
GAUGAACGCUAGCGGCAGGCUUAAUACAUGCAAGUCGAGGGGCAGCAUGAAUGUAGCAAUACAUUUGAUGGCGACCGGCAAACGGGUGCGGAACACGUACACAACCUUCCUAUAAGUGGGGAAUAGCCCAGAGAAAUUUGGACUAAUACCCCGUAACAUAAUGAUGUGGCAUCACAUUAUUAUUAUAGCUACGGCGCUUAUUGAUGGGUGUGCGGCUGAUUAGAUAGUUGGCGGGGUAACGGCCCACCAAGUCUACGAUCAGUAGCUGAUGUGAGAGCAUGAUCAGCCACACGGGCACUGAGACACGGGCCCGACUCCUACGGGAGGCAGCAGUAAGGAAUAUUGGUCAAUGGACGCAAGUCUGAACCAGCCAUGCCGCGUGAAGGAUUAAGGUCCUCUGGAUUGUAAACUUCUUUUGUCUGGGACGAAAAAAGGCGAUUCUUCGUCACUUGACGGUACCAGAUGAAUAAGCACCGGCUAACUCCGUGCCAGCCGCCGCAGUAAGAC